GGCGCAAUAGCUUAAAUGGUUAAAGCACACAACUCAUAAUUGUGAGUAUAUGGGUUCAAAUCCCCUUUGUGCCA
rnacentral:tRNA from 1 species